GACUGUUCUGAGUAUGAUCUUAUUCAUUCAGAAAUAUAAGCAUUGCACUGUAUUCAAUGGCAAGCUAUCCUGGAUUCCAGAGCCUUCAGUUAAUAAUAAAUUGAAAUAUCGUGAAGGCUCUGGUUCAACGGGAGGUUUCUUUGAUUAAACUGUGCCAAUCACAAAACAGAAUUAGCAGUUUUAGUACAGAUUUUGGGCGUGUUAACCCAUUAAGCGCCAGCGCUCUCCCCUUGACGAGUAAACUCGUCUGGCGUUAGACAGAGUAAAAUACUCUGGCGUUAGACAGAGUAAAAUACUAAAGUAGGGUGCAUCAGGGUGCAAUGCGACCCAAUGGGUUAACUAGACACAUGGGCAGAUAGAUCAGUUAACCAAUUAAGCGCCAGCACUCUCCCCUUGACAAGUAAAAUUGUCUGGCGUUAGACAGAGUAAAAUACUGUUCAAAGUAGGGUGCAUCAGGGUGCAAUGCGACCCAAUGGGUUAACUAGACACAUGGGCAGAUAGAUCAGUUAACCCAUUAAGCGCCAGCACUCUCCCCUUGACGAGUAAAAUCGUCUGGCGCUAGACAGAGUAAAAUACUGUUCAAAGUAG